rnacentral:rRNA from 1 species
AUGAACGCUAGCUACAGGCUUAACACAUGCAAGUCGAGGGGCAGCAUGGUCUUAGCUUGCUAAGGCCGAUGGCGACCGGCGCACGGGUGAGUAACGCGUAUCCAACCUGCCUUACACUCUUGGACAGCCUUCUGAAAGGGAGAUUAAUACAAGAUGUUAUCAUGAGUAAGCAUUUUCGCAUGAUUAAAGGUUUACCGGUGUAAGAUGGGGAUGCGUUCCAUUAGAUAGUAGGCGGGGUAACGGCCCACCUAGUCUUCGAUGGAUAGGGGUUCUGAGAGGAAGGUCCCCCACAUUGGAACUGAGACACGGUCCAAACUCCUACGGGAGGCAGCAGUGAGGAAUAUUGGUCAAUGGACGAGAGUCUGAACCAGCCAAGUAGCGUGAAGGAUGAAGGUUCUAUGGAUUGUAAACUUCUUUUAUACGGGAAUAAACGAAUCCACGCGUGGAUUUUUGCAUGUACCGUAUGAAUAAGGAUCGGCUAACUCCGUGCCAGCAGCCGCGGUAAUACGGAGGAUCCGAGCGUUAUCCGGAUUUAUUGGGUUUAAAGGGAGCGUAGAUGGGUUGUUAAGUCAGUUGUGAAAGUUUGCGGCUCAACCGUAAAAUUGCAAUUGAUACUGGCAGUCUUGAGUACAGUUGAGGUAGGCGGAAUUCGUGGUGUAGCGGUGAAAUGCUUAGAUAUCACGAAGAACUCCGAUUGCGAAGGCAGCUUACUAACCUGUAACUGACAUUGAUGCUCGAAAGUGUGGGUAUCAAACAGGAUUAGAUACCCUGGUAGUCCACACGGUAAACGAUGAAUACUCGCUGUAGGCGAUAUACGGUCUGCGGCCAAGCGAAAGCAUUAAGUAUUCCACCUGGGGAGUACGCCGGCAACGGUGAAACUCAAAGGAAUUGACGGGGGCCCGCACAAGCGGUGGAGCAUGUGGUUUAAUUCGAAGCAACGCGAAGAACCUUACCAAGUCUUGACAUCCCUCUGACGGACUCUUAACCGAGUCUUUCCUUCGGGACAGAGGAGACAGGUGGUGCAUGGUUGUCGUCAGCUCGUGCCGUGAGGUGUCGGCUUAAGUGCCAUAACGAGCGCAACCCUUGCCGAUAGUUACUAACAGGUUAUGCUGAGGACUCUGUCGGGACUGCCAUCGUAAGAUGUGAGGAAGGUGGGGAUGACGUCAAAUCAGCACGGCCCUUACGUCCGGGGCUACACACGUGUUACAAUGGGGGGUACAGAGGGCUGCUACCACGCAAGUGGAUGCCAAUCCCAAAAACCUCUCUCAGUUCGGAUUGAAGUCUGCAACCCGACUUCAUGAAGCUGGAUUCGCUAGUAAUCGCGCAUCAGCCACGGCGCGGUGAAUACGUUCCCGGGCCUUGUACACACCGCCCGUCAAGCCAUGGGAGCCGGGGGUACCUGAAGUGCGUAACCGCAAGGAGCGCCCUAGGGUAAAACUGGUGACUGGGGCU